rnacentral:snRNA from 1 species
GUGCUUGCUUUGGCAGCACAUAUAGUAAAAUUGGAAUGAUACAGAGAAGACUGGCAUGGCCUCUGCGCAAAGAUGACACACAAAUUUGUGAAGAAUCCAUGGUCUUC